GGGUUGUGAGGUUAAGCGACUAAGCGUACACGGUGGAUGCCCUGGCAGUCAGAGGCGAUGAAGGACGUGCUAAUCUGCGAUAAGCGUCGGUAAGGUGAUAUGAACCGUUAUAACCGGCGAUUUCCGAAUGGGGAAACCCAGUGUGAUUCGUCACACUAUCAUUAACUGAAUCCAUAGGUUAAUGAGGCGAACCGGGGGAACUGAAACAUCUAAGUACCCCGAGGAAAAGAAAUCAACCGAGAUUCCCCCAGUAGCGGCGAGCGAACGGGGAGCAGCCCAGAGCCUGAAUCAGUGUGUGUGUUAGUGGAAGCGUCUGGAAAGGCGCGCGAUACAGGGUGACAGCCCCGUACACAAAAAUGCACAUGCUGUGAGCUCGAUGAGUAGGGCGGGACACGUGGUAUCCUGUCUGAAUAUGGGGGGACCAUCCUCCAAGGCUAAAUACUCCUGACUGACCGAUAGUGAACCAGUACCGUGAGGGAAAGGCGAAAAGAACCCCGGCGAGGGGAGUGAAAAAGAACCUGAAACCGUGUACGUACAAGCAGUGGGAGCACAGAGCAAUCUGUGUGACUGCGUACCUUUUGUAUAAUGGGUCAGCGACUUAUAUUCUGUAGCAAGGUUAACCGAAUAGGGGAGCCGAAGGGAAACCGAGUCUUAACUGGGCGUUAAGUUGCAGGGUAUAGACCCGAAACCCGGUGAUCUAGCCAUGGGCAGGUUGAAGGUUGGGUAACACUAACUGGAGGACCGAACCGACUAAUGUUGAAAAAUUAGCGGAUGACUUGUGGCUGGGGGUGAAAGGCCAAUCAAACCGGGAGAUAGCUGGUUCUCCCCGAAAGCUAUUUAGGUAGCGCCUCGUGAAUUCAUCUCCGGGGGUAGAGCACUGUUUCGGCAAGGGGGUCAUCCCGACUUACCAACCCGAUGCAAACUGCGAAUACCGGAGAAUGUUAUCACGGGAGACACACGGCGGGUGCUAACGUCCGUCGUGAAGAGGGAAACAACCCAGACCGCCAGCUAAGGUCCCAAAGUCAUGGUUAAGUGGGAAACGAUGUGGGAAGGCCCAGACAGCCAGGAUGUUGGCUUAGAAGCAGCCAUCAUUUAAAGAAAGCGUAAUAGCUCACUGGUCGAGUCGGCCUGCGCGGAAGAUGUAACGGGGCUAAACCAUGCACCGAAGCUGCGGCAGCGACGCUGAUGCGUUGUUGGGUAGGGGAGCGUUCUGUAAGCCUGUGAAGGUGUGCUGUGAGGCAUGCUGGAGGUAUCAGAAGUGCGAAUGCUGACAUAAGUAACGAUAAAGCGGGUGAAAAGCCCGCUCGCCGGAAGACCAAGGGUUCCUGUCCAACGUUAAUCGGGGCAGGGUGAGUCGACCCCUAAGGCGAGGCCGAAAGGCGUAGUCGAUGGGAAACAGGUUAAUAUUCCUGUACUUGGUGUUACUGCGAAGGGGGGACGGAGAAGGCUAUGUUGGCCGGGCGACGGUUGUCCCGGUUUAAGCGUGUAGGCUGGUUUUCCAGGCAAAUCCGGAAAAUCAAGGCUGAGGCGUGAUGACGAGGCACUACGGUGCUGAAGCAACAAAUGCCCUGCUUCCAGGAAAAGCCUCUAAGCAUCAGGUAACAUCAAAUCGUACCCCAAACCGACACAGGUGGUCAGGUAGAGAAUACCAAGGCGCUUGAGAGAACUCGGGUGAAGGAACUAGGCAAAAUGGUGCCGUAACUUCGG
rnacentral:rRNA from 1 species